ensembl:lncRNA
GGGAAGUAAAGGGUUAAUCAAUCAAGUGCUAUGUCUGUGAUAUCACUUUCAGUGGACUUGAGAAAACAGACAGAGAAGAAAAGUUCAGUGAGCAGGAGAAGUUUCAAUCAGUGGCGUGAGGAGAGGAGGAGUGGAGCUGUAGAAGACAGGAGGAGGAGAGAGGAAUAACAUCUUAUAUGAUAGUGAGGGCAUGGAAUGUCCAAAAUGUCCUACAGAGGAGGGUCGUGGGCCGUGAUAAAUAUUCACCUAUGGAAGCCAGCAGGAUUGUGUUAUGGUCAGCUGACCCAAGCGCAGCUAGAGAUAUCGACUUAUAGGCACCUGGAACUGGCCCAUAGCACCUAUGCAAAAUUCUGUCCUCCCGUGUGGCACAUGAGACAUACUGAUAAUAUCCUUUUAAAACUUUGUCCAUGACACAAUGAUCCUUUAUAAUUUUGGGAGAGUCUGGGGAUACAGCAUCCAGUUUGUGCAGGACAUUUAUCAAUGCAUCUGUUGCUACAGUCAGUUAGUGAAAGACUGUAUAUAUACACAAUAAGAAAGUAUUAUUGGGAGAACUCGUGUAGAAGAUAGAACGGGCGAGUAGAAAAUCCAAGCACUUUAAUAUCCGAGGUGCAUCUUUUGUCUCGCACUAUUACAUUGUUAGACCAUCUCUCCUUAGUGUACACACACACACUCCACCUCUAUGUCCCUUUCCGGUAGUGUAUUUGUCUCUAUCCAAACGUACUGGUCGCAGAAAUCCACUUACCCACAGACUAUCAUCAACCACAGAAUCAUCCGGCCGUGGUUCAGUCCACACUAACUCAUAUCCUCAUUCCUGUACUCAUAUUUGCCUGCAACUCGUCCAUCUUAUGGUGAAGUGAGCGAACAUUGGCCAGUAUAAUUUUGGGCAGCGGGGUAAAUCUUUGGUGCACUUUCAAUCUACACUUUACUCCUCCACACUUGUUGUGUAGUCACAUAAAUCAAUCGAGAUCACACUCGGACAACGCACAUGGCUCUUUACUUAAACAUUGCAUUCCCCAACAACUCUUUUUCUUCUCUUCCCCUUACAUGCAUCUGGUUCCCCACAUCAUACAGCACCUCCCCCUAGUGGCAUUUACCAUUCAACAGUAUUAAGUGAACACACCAUCUCCCCCAGACUUAAUUGUUUACAUCUGUACUGCAGCUUCAUUUAACAAGAUACAAACAGUACAUUCAGUUAAUUCAAGGUUUUCUGAUUUGUAUUUUUCCCCCCAAUACAUUUCACAAAAUGUAGAACAGUGCUCUAGGAACCAAGC